GUGCUCACUUCGGCAGCACAUAUACUGAAAUUGGAAGCAUAGAGAAGAUUAGCACGGCCACUGAAAUUAAAAAAUAUAUAUAUUGUGUUGUACACCUUAAACAU
rnacentral:snRNA from 1 species